CCAAACUGUUGCCUCGGCGGGAUCUCUGCCCCGGGUGCGUCGCAGCCCCGGACCAAGGCGCCCGCCGGAGGACCAACCAAAACUCUUUUUGUAUACCCCCUCGCGGGUUUUUUUUAUAAUCUGAGCCUUCUCGGCGCCUCUCGUAGGCGUUUCGAAAAUGAAUCAAAACUUUCAACAACGGAUCUCUUGGUUCUGGCAUCGAUGAAGAACGCAGCGAAAUGCGAUAAGUAAUGUGAAUUGCAGAAUUCAGUGAAUCAUCGAAUCUUUGAACGCACAUUGCGCCCGCCAGUAUUCUGGCGGGCAUGCCUGUCCGAGCGUCAUUUCAACCCUCGAACCCCUCCGGGGGGUCGGCGUUGGGGAUCGGCCCUGCCUCUUGGCGGUGGCCGUCUCCGAAAUACAGUGGCGGUCUCGCCGCAGCCUCUCCUGCGCAGUAGUUUGCACACUCGCAUCGGGAGCGCGGCGCGUCCACAGCCGUUAAACACCCAACUUCUGAAAUGUUGACCUCGGAUCAGGUAGGAAUACCCGCUGAACUUAAGCAUAUCAAUAAGCCGGAGGAA
rnacentral:rRNA from 1 species